rnacentral:rRNA from 1 species
GUACACGCUGUGACUAGCAUAUCAAUAAGCGGAGGAAAAGAAACUAACAAGGAUUCCCCUAGUAACGGCGAGUGAAGCGGGAAGAGCUCAAAUUUGAAAUCUUAAAGGGUUUCCCUUUACGAAUUGUAGUUUAAAGAAGUGUUUUCUGUUGAGGUUUUGGUAAAAGUUCUUUGGAAUAGGACAUCAUAGAGGGUGAGAAUCCCGUAUUUGACCUUUACUUUCAACUUUGUGAUACACUUUCAAAGAGUCGGAUUGUUUGGGAAUGCAGUCCAAGAUGGGUGGUAAAUUUCAUCUAAAGCUAAAUAUUGGCGAGAGACUGAUAGCGAACAAGUACCGUGAGGGAAAGAUGAAAAGAACUUUGAAAAGAUGAGUUAAACAGUACGUGAAAUUGUCAAAAGGGAAGGCGUUUGACACCAGUGUUGUUUUUCUGAAAAUCAAUUAAAGAACUGUUUAUGCUAAGUUGUUUAGACUUUAUCAGCUAACUGUUUAAGUUUUGAGCUUUUCUUUAAUGCACUUUUCAGUUAACAAGUCAACAUCAAUUUCUUUUGCUGUAAAAAAGCUUGAGGAAGGUGGCUUGAGAUUCGUCUUAAGUGUUUAUAGCCUCUUGCCUAUGCAGUCGGAGAGAUUGAGGUCUGCAGCGUAGAUCCUUCGGGGCUAAAUGCAUUUGUGCUAAGUUAUAAGCAUUUUAUAGACAACUUGUUGACUAUGAUUUGUCUUGUAGCUUACUCGCUUAUGUUAUUUUACCUACGCUUAGGAUGUUGACGCGCGUGUGUGCGUG